AUUGAACGCUGGCGGCAUGCUUUACACAUGCAAGUCGAACGGUAACAGGGAGCUUGCUCCGCUGACGAGUGGCGAACGGGUGAGUAAUGCGUCGGAACGUGCCGAGUAGUGGGGGAUAACGCAUCGAAAGGUGUGCUAAUACCGCAUACGAACUGAGGUUGAAAGUGGGGGACCUUCGGGCCUCACGCUAUUCGAGCGGCCGACGUCUGAUUAGCUAGUUGGUGAGGUAAAGGCUCACCAAGGCGACGAUCAGUAGCGGGUCCGAGAGGAUGAUCCGCCACACUGGGACUGAGACACGGCCCAGACGCCUACGGGAGGCAGCAGUGGGGAAUUUUGGACAAUGGGCGCAAGCCUGAUCCAGCCAUGCCGCGUGUCUGAAGAAGGCCUUCGGGUUGUAAAGGACUUUUGUCCGGGAGCAAAUGCCUGGUGUUAAUAGCAUCGGGAGCUGAGAGUACCGGAAGAAUAAGCACCGGCUAACUACGUGCCAGCCGCCGCCGUAAGAC
rnacentral:rRNA from 1 species